rnacentral:tRNA from 1 species
GGGAGUGGCUCAGUGGUAGAGCAUUUGUCUAGCAUGUGCCAGAGCCUGGGUUCCAGCCCCAGUGCCA